rnacentral:lncRNA from 1 species
AAAAUAAUAAAACGGUUGAGUUUCUUUUACUGGUUUUAUUUAAUACUUUUCUUUGAUUUUCCAAAAGUUCCUAAAAAAUGACUUCUGGUUCAUUAAACAUUGAAAAAAUGGAAUGAGAUUAGAGUGGACUGAAAUUUGCUGAGAUUAUUGUUCGAUUGGAUUGGGUUUUGGAGUAUUUUAAGUUGGUUUUUUGGGUUUUGUUGAAGCUAACUUCUACUGCUGCUCCGUGACCCUCACUUGCUCUAUUAUUCUCAUUUUCAGGUAUUACUCGACCUUUUGGGUAUUAUUUAAUGUGUAAUACAAAGUUUGGAUCAAAAUAACAUGAAGUGAUUGUGAUGAUUCAUUGAAAUCCAAUCUUUGCUGCUUCAUCUUCUGUGAUCAAUAGACAUUGUUUAGACUUUUGAUUGAUGUUUUUAUCACUAUAUGGGUUGUAAUUAACAUUUAGAUUACAUAAGAUCAGCAUGUAUCUUCUUAUGACUCUGUUGCUGGUUUCCACUAGCAGCAUUUAACUUUACCUUAGGUAUUUCUCUUGCUUGUUUUCGAGAUUGGGACUGCAUUAGCAAAAUAAAUUAAGAGAUACACCUGGAUCUGCAUGAGUCAAGCUUAGAACCUGUUAUAGUGCAUAACCCAUGGUUUUUGAUGCAUGUAGUAUGUUAGGAUAGAUAUGUUUCCUCAAGUCCUCAUUGUUGGUCUAUCAGUUGUUUGAGUAGAAGACAUGUGGGAUGAGGAUUUAAAGUGGAAGCAUAUUGAGAUAUGCAUGCUAAAGACAAGUUAGUUAGUACAUUGGCAAAAGAUGCCUUGAUUGAUGUUGAAGAUGUGCCACCAUUGUUCAUUAUUAUUUAUUAGCAAAUUGGUUAUUCGACAAUGACUUGCCAUUGACAUAGCUUUUGGGAUGUUACCAUAGUUCAGUUAUCCUCUUUUGUAUGUAUCUAAGGUUACUGUAAUAUGUGCUGCUAAGAAAUUUGGUCAUAGUUGGAAGCUCGGAGAUUGUCUUAGUAGAUUGCUGGUUUGCUCGUCUCCGUUUCCCCCCGGACUAGUUGAUUCUCCUCUACGAUGUUUUGGCAUCUAGUUUAUUUCAUUAUUUUGUAAAUAUUUGGUAAAUGUGCUAAGAGCUAAAAACCACUUAGGCACUGUCUGCUUGACAUGAGAUGGAUAAUCAAAAAAUGAAUUUGUUUACUUUAUUUAGAGAUGAAUGAAUACUAAUGGGCCAUCAUUGGCAUUCCUGUUGAAAUGACAAACGUAGACUUCGAUAAUCUAGUGAAGCUUGACAUUAGUCAUACGAGAUCAGCCUAUUUAUUUUUAAAUGCUACUGGCCAAGUUUGCUACAUGAAUGUUGAGAGUUGUUUAAAUGAUCUAAUAUGUUUAGUGA